AGCAGCCGCGGUAAUUCCAGCUCCAAUAGCGUAUAUUAAAGUUGUUGCAGUUAAAAGCUCGUAGUUGAAUUUCGGGAUUGACACAUCGGUCGUGCCUUAAGGGGUAUGAACUGGUGUAGUCAAUUUCUCACCUUCUGGAGAACCGCGAUGCCCUUAAUUGGGUGUCGCGGGGAACCAGGACCUUUACUUUGAAAAAUUAGAGUGUUUAAAGCAGGCAUUUUGCUUGAAUACAUUAGCAUGGAAUAAUAAAAUAGGACGGCAUGAUUCUAUUUUGUUGGUUUUAGGAUCACCGUAAUGAUUAAUAGGGAUAGUUGGGGGCAUUAGUAUUCAAUUGUCAGAGGUGAAAUUCUUGGAUUUAUUGAAGACUAACUACUGCGAAAGCAUUUGCCAAGGAUGUUUUCAUUAAUCAAGAACGAAAGUUAGGGGAUCGAAGACGAUCAGAUACCGUCUAGUCUUAACCAUAAACUAUGCCGACUAGGAAUCAGACGAUGUAAUUUUUAAUGACUCG
rnacentral:rRNA from 1 species